AGCGAACGCUGGCGGCAGGCUUAACACAUGCAAGUCGAGCGGGCACUUUCGGGUGUCAGCGGCGGACGGGUGAGUAACGCGUGGGAACGUUCCCUCUGGUUCGGAAUAACUCAGGGAAACUUGAGCUAAUACCGGAUACGCCCUUUUGGGGAAAGGCUUGCUGCCGGAGGAUCGGCCCGCGUCUGAUUAGCUAGUUGGUGAGGUAACGGCUCACCAAGGCGACGAUCAGUAGCUGGUCUGAGAGGAUGAUCAGCCACACUGGGACUGAGACACGGCCCAGACUCCUACGGGAGGCAGCAGUGGGGAAUAUUGGACAAGGGGCGCAAGCCUGAUCCAGCCAUGCCGCGUGAGUGAUGAAGGCCUUAGGGUUGUAAAGCUCUUUUAUCCGGGACGAUAAUGACGGUACCGGAGGAAUAAGCCCCGGCUAACUUCGUG
rnacentral:rRNA from 1 species